CUUGAGUUAUAAACAUAAGAGGUCCAGCCUGCCCAGUGAUUAAAUUUAACGGCCGCGGUAUCCUAACCGUGCGAAGGUAGCGUAAUCACUUGUUCUUUAAAUGAGGACUAGUAUGAAUGGCACCACGAAGGUUUUACUGUCUCCUUUUCCCAAUCAGUGAAACUAAUCUUCCCGUGAAGAAGCGGGAAUAAACGAAUAAGACGAGAAGACCCUAUGGAGCUUUAAACACAAUAACAAAUACUACUUUAAACAAAAAUUUCUUAAUGACUUACUCCCUGGUGUUAUGAUUAUUAGUUUUAGGUUGGGGUGACCGCGGAGAAAAACACAACCUCCACAUUGAAUGAUAAAAUUCUAAGCAAAGAAUUACAUUUCCACGCAUCAAUACAUUGACAUCAAUUGACCCAAUUAUUUUGAUCAACGAAC
rnacentral:rRNA from 1 species